CUGCUGAUGAACUGUCUCUGACAGGUUGCCUGGGGUUUAGCUGUCUCUGGGGGGGCAGGGACAGUGGAGGCAAUAGGUGGAGUGGAGCUGCCUCUGCCAUCUGAGACGUGCUUGAGGACACUGUUGCAACGGAGAUCAGUGGAGCAGGUACCAUGCUGCCAGUAGCAACGCCACUCGGGGCUCUGUCAUGAUGGAGCGGCUUCAGUGGGUGAGCGCGAUCAAGGCCUGUCAACUUCUUCCUACCUAGGGAUCGGAGGGCACCUCGUUUGGGAGCUGCAGAGGGGAAUCUGUCACCUACCAACAGCUGCAUCAGGACCGGGUCUUGGACCUUGGCGAUCGCGGGCAAGGAGGGGAAUGAGGCGCUGGACCGCUGCUGCUGGGGGGGUGCAGGGCUGAUAGGGGGCAACAGCUUGCGCUGGCCAGGCGCUACACCGGCUCUGAGCGGCUGCAGUGAACCGCAGAGCAUUGUGGGAUUGUGUUCUGGCGGCAGCACAGGCUCAACAUGAGGAUGAUGAUGAGGAUGAAACAGCUGAUGCUGAGACUGCAGACAGGAAGGAGGCAACACGUCAUCAAACAUGUCACACACACACGCACACACACACAGACACACACACACUGCACUAUCAAUGCAAGUGUAAUACUAUUGUGUAUAUGAACCAUAAACAAAAGCAAUGUUGGAUGUGGUGAUCCCUGAAAGUUUCUAUAACCUAGUUCUAGGUAACCAUUAACCCAUAAUUGUGGUUGAGCCAAAGAUUAUUUAAGAAUAGUUACCAGCAGAGACGGGUAACUAGACAAUCUUUGGUUACCAGUUUAGGUCAUCACACUAAAUUUGACCUUUAACCUUUCUACUUUCUGAAAAAGGUCACUUUCUAAAGUGCGUUAGUAGAAGUGUUAUGUAUCACAACUUAUUAUAGGCACCAGAAAAUAAGGGAUACAACAUUUACCAAAUAUUUAGGCUAUAAAAUGAUAUGUUCAGCUAUAAUAAGAUUGUUGAGGGAACUCACAGAGGUGUAGUUGUUCGGCAUCUGUUUCUUCAGGUGCUGCCGCAUUAUGUUAAUUAUCUCCUGGUUUUGAGCUCGGAUUUUAUCCAGCUCUCCUUUAAGACUUUGGGAAUCCAUUGAACUGAAAGCGAAUAUUUUCACAGACAGUAGCCAGCCUACACUUCCAACUUGGUGAUGACAAUGAACUGAAAUAAACGCCUUACAAAACCGUGUCAAA